rnacentral:rRNA from 1 species
AAAGGAAUUGACGGGGACCCGCACAAGCAGCGGAGCAUGUGGUUUAAUUCGAAGCAACGCGAAGAACCUUACCAAGGCUUGACAUAUAGAGGGCGUAUUUAGAGAUAAAUAUUCCUCUUCGGAGGCCUCUAUACAGGUGGUGCAUGGUUGUCGUCAGCUCGUGUCGUGAGAUGUUGGGUUAAGUCCCGCAACGAGCGCAACCCUUAUAUCUAGUUGCCAGCAUUUCGGAUGGGGACUCUAGAUAGACUGCCGAUGACAAAUCGGAGGAAGGUGGGGAUGACGUCAAAUCAUCAUGCCCUAUAUGCCUUGGGCAACACACGUGCUACAAUGGAAGGUACAAAGGGAAGCCAAAUCGCGAGGUGGAGCAAACCUCAAAAAGCCUUUCCCAGUUCGGAUUGUUCUCUGCAACUCGAGAACAUGAAGCUGGAGUUGCUAGUAAUCGCAGAUCAGAAUGCUGCGGUGAAUGCGUUCCCGGGUCUUGUACACACCGCCCGU